rnacentral:rRNA from 1 species
UACAGAGGGUGCGAGCGUUAUUCGGAAUUACUGGGCGUAAAGCGCACGUAGUCGGCUUUGCAAGUCGGGUGUGAAAUCCCCGGGCUCAACCUGGGAACUGCAUCCGAGACUGCAUUGCUAGAGUAUGGGAGAGGGAAGCGGAAUUUCUGGUGUAGCAGUGAAAUGCGUAGAUAUCAGAAGGAACAUCAGUGGCGAAGGCGGCUUCCUGGACCAAUACUGACGAUCAGGUGCGAAAGCCAGGGGAGCAAACGGG